UCCACUUUUCAUUUCUCUUUCCAUUUCAAAUUUCGAAUUUCAAAAUUAUAUCUUCCCACCUUUCUUCAUUUGAUAAUGCACUUUAUUCUCUUUCAAUCUCAUUUCAUAAUUUUCUUACCAUCUUUCUUCAUUUUUAUUUUCUCUAACCAUUUCUCUAACAAGUUUGAUUUAUUUUUUCAGAUUCUUUAUAUUGAGGCAACCUAUUACAUAGAACAACUACAAUCAAGAAAAAUGAACAACAAGAAGAAGGAAGAAGAAUUUCAUUUCACAUCUCAAAAUCAAGAUAUAAAUGCAAAAGAGGUGGUGAAGAAAUUGUGCUCCAGAUAUUUGAAGUUGCUGCACAAUGAAUUCCGGUGAGAUAAGCGAUUUCCGGCACGGUGGUUGCUGUCGAGAUUGAUAUCAUCAUUAAUUUUUAUGGGUUUUGGUGCUGAAGUUUAGAGAAAGAGCAUGAACAAUUUGAUUUUUGAAGAGGUGGCACACGGUGGCCGAAAAAUAGAAUAGGAGAGAAGGUGGACGAAACAAAAUUUAAACUUACAACCCUAUGAAUAAAUUAGGUGGUUUUCUAGAUGAACAUGAUCAGAUCAAAAUGAUAAUUUUAUUUUAGGUAUGUGGUGGUCGGAGUUGUUUGGAAAUUUUAAGAGAUUCAAUGUGAACCUUUUAUUUUUGUUUGUAUUUUAUGUGUGGGUUGAAUCUUUAAAUCCAAUUAACGUUUAUAGGUCACUAUGUCUAUUUAUGAAAUUCAAUGUGAA